AUACUCCGCAAUGCGGGCAACCGCGACGGGGCUACCCCGAGUGCCGGGCGAAGAGCCCGGCUUUUGCCCGGUCUAAAAAGCCGGGAGAAUAAGCGGGGGGCAAGUCUGGUGUCAGCCGCCGCGGUAAUACCAGCUCCGCGAGUGGUCGGGGUGUUUACUGGGCUUAAAGCGCCCGUAGCCGGCCCGGCAAGUCGCUCCUGAAAUCCCCGGGCUCAACCCGGGGGCGGGGGGCGAUACUGCCGGGCUAGGGGGCGGGAGAGGCCGCCGGUACUCCGGGGGUAGGGGCGAAAUCCGUUAAUCCCCGGAGGACCACCAAUGGCGAAAGCAGGCGGCCAGAACGCGCCCGACGGUGAGGGGCGAAAGCCGGGGGAGCAAAGGGGAUUAGAUACCCCUGUAGUCCCGGCCGUAAACGAUGCGGGCUAGCUGUCGGCCGGGCUUAGGGCCCGGCCGGCGGCGUAGGG
rnacentral:rRNA from 1 species